UACGUAGGGGGCAAGCGUUGUCCGGAUUUAUUGGGCGUAAAGAGCGUGUAGGCGGUUUGGUAGGUCCGCUGUGAAAACUCGAGGCUCAACCUCGAGACGUCGGUUGAAACCACCUGGCUAGAGUCCGGAAGAGGAGAGUGGAAUUCCCGGUGUAGCGGUGAAAUGCGCAGAUAUCGGGAAGAACACCCGUGGCGAAGGCGGCUCUCUGGGACGGUACUGACGCUGAGACGCGAAAGCGUGGGGAGCGAACAGG
rnacentral:rRNA from 1 species